CCUACGGGAGGCAGCAGUGGGGAAUAUUGCACAAUGGGCGAAAGCCUGAUGCAGCAACGCCGCGUGGAGGAUGAAGGCCUUCGGGUUGUAAACUCUUGUCUUCCGGGACGAUAAUGACGGUACCGGAGGAGGAAGCCACGGCUAACUACGUGCCAGCAGCCGCGGUAAU
rnacentral:rRNA from 1 species